AUCAUCAAGUUCAAUCUUUGAGGAAUUAGUUUCUUCACCAAGAAACUCUUUUUCUAAAAAGAUAGCCCUAUUACUAAUGAACACCUUCUAUUCGUUAGCAAGGUAGAAGUAAUAUCCCUUAGUCUCUUUUGGGUACCCUAUAAAUAGAUAUUUGUCAGACCUAAGUCCAAGCUUGUCAGUUUUCAAUCAUUUGAUAUAAGUCGGACAU
rnacentral:lncRNA from 1 species